rnacentral:rRNA from 1 species
GAAUUCACUAGUGAUUAGAGUUUGAUUAUGGCUCAGGAUGAACGCUGGCGGCGUGCUUAACACAUGCAAGUCGAACGGACUCAUAUUGAAACCUAAUGAUUUAUGAUUUAGUGGCGGACGGGUGAGUAACGCAUGGAUAACCUGCCGUAUACCGGGGGAUAGCACUUACAGAUACGUGCUAGUACCGCAUAACCGCACGGCUCCGCAUGGGGCACUGUGAAAGACUCCGGUGGUAUACGAUGGAUCCGCGUCUGAUUACCUAGUUGGCGGGGUAACGGCCCACCAAGGCAUCGAUCAGUAACCGGCCUGAGAGGGUGGACAGCCACAUUGGGACUGAGACACGGUCCAAACUCCUACGGGAGGCAACAGUGGGGAAUAUUGCACAAUGGGGGAAACCCUGAUGCAGCGACGCCGCGUGAAUGAACAAAUAUCUCGGUACCUAAAGCUCUAUCAACUAGGAAGAUAAUGACGGUACCUGACCAAGAAACCACGGCUAACUACGUGCCAUCAGCCGCGGUAAUACAUAAGGGGCAAGCGUUAUCCGGAUUUACUGGGUGUAAAGGGAGCGUAGACUGCACCGCAAGUCUGGAGUGAAAUCGCGGGGCUUAACCCCGGAUCUGCUUUGGAAACUGUGCGGCUGGAGUGCACGAUGGGUAAUCUGAAUUCCUAGUGUAGCAGUGAUAUGCGUAGAUAUUAGGAUGAACACCAGUGGCGAAGGCGGCUUACUGAACUGUAACUGACGUUGAGGCUCAAAGGCGUGUGGAGCAAACAGGAGUAGAUACCCUGGUAGUCCAAACCGGUAACGAUGAUUACGAAGUGUCCGGGGACCAGGUCCUCCGGUGCCGGCGCGGUCGCAUUGAUUCAUCCGCCUGGGGGAAUACUUUUCGCUAAACGACACUCGGAGGAAUUGACGGGGAACCGCACAAACGGGGGAAGCAGGGGG